UGGGGAAUAUUGGACAAUGGGGGAAACCCUGAUCCAGCAAUGCCGCGUGUGUGAAGAAGGCCUUCGGGUUGUAAAGCACUUUUGUCGAGGAGGAAGGCGUGAUGAAAGUCACGAUUGACUUAACUCGAAGAAACAGCACCGGCUAACUCUGUGCCAGCAGCCGCGGUAAUACAGAGGGUGCAAGCGUUAAUCGGAAUUAUUGGGCGUAAAGCGCACGUAGGCGGUUCGAUAAGUUAGAUGUGAAAUACCUGGGCUUAACUUGGGGAUGUCAUCUAAUACUGUCAGACUAGAGUAGAGUAGAGGAAGGGGGAAUUUCCGGUGUAGCGGUGAAAUGCGUAGAUAUCGGAAGGAACAUCAGUGGCGAAGGCGCCCUUCUGGACAAAUACUGACGCUGAGGAGCGAAAGCGUGGGGAGCAAACAGGAUUAGAUACCCCCGUAGUCC
rnacentral:rRNA from 1 species